rnacentral:rRNA from 1 species
UACGUAGGGCGCAAGCGUUGUCCGGAAUUAUUGGGCGUAAAGAGCUCGUAGGCGGUCUGUCGCGUCUGUUGUGAAAACUCGAGGCUCAACCUCGGGCUUGCAGUGGAUACGGGCAGACUAGAGUGCGGUAGGGGAGACUGGAAUUCCUGGUGUAGCGGUGAAAUGCGCAGAUAUCAGGAGGAACACCGGUGGCGAAGGCGGGUCUCUGGGCCGAUAUCGACGCUGAGGAGCGAAAGCGUGGGGAGCGAACAGG